GUAAAAUACCGGUUCCCGUACAAUCAUCGAAGUUAAGCAAGGUCGAGCCUGGGAAGUACUUAGAUGGGUGAGCGCUUGGGAAUACCAGUUGCUGUAAG